GAUGAACGCUGGCGGCGUGCCUAAUACAUGCAAGUCGAGCGAACAGACGAGGAGCUUGCUCCUCUGACGUUAGCGGCGGACGGGUGAGUAACACGUGGAUAACCUACCUAUAAGACUGGGAUAACUUCGGGAAACCGGAGCUAAUACCGGAUACUAUCUUGAACCGCAUGGUUCAAUAGUGACAGACGGUUUUGCUGUCACUUAUAGAUGGAUCCGCGCCGCAUUAGCUAGUUGGUAAGGUAACGGCUUACCAAGGCAACGAUGCGUAGCCGACCUGAGAGGGUGAUCGGCGACACUGGAACUAAGACACGGUCCAGACUCCUACGGGAGGCAGCAGUAGGGAAUCUUCCGCAAUGGGCGAAAGCCUGACGGAGCAACGCCGCGUGAGUGAUGAAGGUCUUCGGAGCGUAAAACUCUGUUAUUAGGUAAGAACAAAUGUGUAAGUAACUAUGCACGUCUUGACGGUACCUAAUCAGAAAGCCACGGCUAACUACGUG
rnacentral:rRNA from 1 species